GGGACAUUAGCUCAGUUGGUAGAGCAGCGGACUGUUAAUCCGCCUGUCGGAGGUUCAAGCCCUUCAUGUCCCG
rnacentral:tRNA from 1 species